UACGCAGGGGGCUAGCGUUGCUCGGAAUCACUGGGCGUAAAGCGCACGUAGGCGGCUUCUUAAGUCAGGGGUGAAAUCCUGGAGCUCAACUCCAGAACUGCCUUUGAUACUGGGAAGCUUCGAGUCCGGAAGAGGUGAGUGGAACUGCGAGUGUAGAGGUGAAAUUCGUAGAUAUUCGCAAGAACACCAGUGGCGAAGGCGGCUCACUGGUCCGGUACUGACGCUGAGGUGCGAAAGCGUGGGGAGCAAACAGG
rnacentral:rRNA from 1 species